rnacentral:rRNA from 1 species
AGAGUGGCGGACGGGUGAGUAACGCGUAGGAAUCUGCCCAGUAGUGGGGGACAACUCGGGGAAACCCGAGCUAACACCGCAUACGCCCUACGGGGGAAAGGGGGCCUCUUCUUGAAAGCUCUCGCUAUUGGAUGAGCCUGCGUCGGAUUAGCUAGUUGGUGGGGUAAAGGCCCACCAAGGCGACGAUCCGUAGCUGGUCUGAGAGGACGACCAGCCACACUGGGACUGAGACACGGCCCAG